UCGACGUUUUCCCCCAAAAAACGAUACAGCGAGUUCUUAUCAUCUUUUGCUGUCUUAUAUUCUAGUACUCGAUAGAGAAGCCGUGGAGGGCAAAAAUAAAACGCAAAAAUGUUUCCAGUGCAAGUCUGUAUGUUUGCAAUGAGUUGGUUAUUGUAACAGUGUGAUGUGGUAACGACAUUUUCCUACCUGUCAAAACAAUGCGAGCAAAAAAGUGAAAAAAUACCUGCGUGAAGAUCUGCCUGAAGUUACCAACCAGCAUUACCGUUGGGAAUUUUGAAAAUGUGGCACAAAAACUCGUUUUUUUUCUUUUGCAAAAAAUUCGGAUCAAAAUGUGUUUUCCAAAAAAAGUCGCACAUAUUUAUUCUAUGAUUUAAUUAAAUUCAUUUUUUAUUGAAGAAGUAUGGACACACCAACAAUUUGCGCCGUAGGUAGAUGUUAAAGUGCAUAGAAUAUUAUAAAAAAUCAAUAAAAUAUGAUAAAAAUAUGCUUGGUUAAAUUUAAAAUGUUUGGUAUUUUUACGGUGGUUGCGGAAUGGGAGGUUUAGUUGAUGAUGUUCGACUUGCAGACGAUGCGAGUGGAAGCAAGCUAAGAGCAAAGGGCGGUUCGACUUUGAAGGCUCUGUUGCCAUAGCCGAUGGCCCGCAAUACUAAAUCUCAGCCGCUUGGGAUCCCGUGUGCCAAGUUUACGAAAUUGUGCGCUUGGGUUGUGUGGUUUUAAUAAAUUGCUCAUCCCAACAAUCAGUCAAAUUUGGUCAAAUAUAUACCCAAUGUCCGCUAUUAUUACGCCACACAUGCUGAGAUAAAAUGUUGCAUACCGUAACCAAGUAUUAAACAAUCGUUUUACUAAAGUUUUUUUUUAUUGGCAUACUUCCGAUUCUGCAAAAGCUGUUGAUGAGAAUACAAUGUAUAGAAAGCCGCCAGGAUUACGCAAAAAUAGUCCCAAACUCCACUACCAGCGAAGCACAAGACAUCACAACGACAUCAAACACAAACUCUUAUCAAACAAACAAAAAAUCGGCAUUUUAAGAGAAAACCCAAGUUCGCCCACAGUGCUGCCAAACGUUCCUCAGUAACAUCGACAACGUUAUCAACUCACUAUCAGUCGUCAUCGAACUAUCUUCAAAAGCAACUGCCUAAGCAUUUUAGUGGACAUCAUCAUUGUCAUCAAAUCGUAAUAACACGUAUACAGACGAGAAUACAGGUGGUGGGGGCAAGCGCUACGCUCGUCUCCAUUCCCGCGCUAAUAACUGUCGUAAGAAGAAUUAUGGACACAUCAACAAUAUGCGUCUUAAGAAGUUGGAGUAUAUUAUAAGUGGAAGACUAUUAUAAUACAAAAAAAAAAAAAAAUAAAAAAUGAUAAAAAUAUGUUUGGUUAAUGAUUUAAAAACUUUAAAAUGUAUUUUCUGCGAAAUCAUUUUUCUUAGUUAUGUCCGUCUUCGAUGACAUGAGCGUUAUUUAUGUUUCUUUAGAAACAAACCCGCCUUAUUCGAAUAAAUGAAUAUAAUUGCUUUGUUGCGUUCAAUUCCAACUUCCGCAGAUUGAUCACUUGUCGUUGAUAUGAAAGGAGACUUUAUGGCAAAAUAACAUUGUUAUCCUGGCGCUAUGGCGUAGCAGUGCCUUUACUUCAGGCACUUGGUAUUCGCUCUCAGAGUUUGUUAACUAUUUGUCGUCAGUAGUUUUAUCGGCAUUGAUUUCUCCAUGUACAAUAAAGCCCAUUUUCUUGGUCUGUGACAGUAGAGCAGCAGCUCAGUGGACACCUAUGCACAAAAUAUUAAAAUAAAAGUUUUGGAAAGUAAUAAUUUAACAACCCACUUACCUUUGCUCAGCAGAUUAUUUUUUUUUUUGUGUAAUAAUUAACAAAACAUAUGUUUAUUUGACUUUUAUCAACGCUACCAGGUACUUUUUUUUUACGAAAAAAGAGGUUGUAAUCGCCAAAAUCACUAAAGUUCAAAUACUGCAUCUCUGUUUUAAUAAGUGAAAAAUGGAUUUUCAAAAUUUUUUCACUUAAAAGAACGUACCCUUUACUACAAAUCUAAGAAAAGAAAUUAUUAAAAAAAA